CAAAAGCUCGUAAAGUGGUUACAAAGGCGAAAAAUAAGAAACUAACAAUUCAAGACGCCCGACAAAGCUUUUAUUUACACCUUGCAUCAUCCGCCGAGAUGUAGACUAGAGCUGGGAAACUAUCGAUGGCACUAUCCACGUAUCGAAUGUUUAACUUUCUCGGCCACCAUCGAUAGUUUAUAGUCGCUAUCGAUGGUGCUGGAUUAGCGUUAAUUGGACGUUGGUUAUGGCUCUAAGCAUUGAUAAAUAUAUAGUGAAUUUGAAAAGAAAA